GUUUUAGGCUCCAUUUGGUCAUCACAUUAGUAUUUAUGAAUACAAAUUUUUUUUUUUCAAACCAAAUGGAGCCUAAGCCCUUUUUUAACUCCGCCAAUGCAACUCCUUGCAUUGCCGGUCCCAAGCCUGGGUAAAGGAGGAGGGAGAAGGGCUUUAGAAUGAGAUCAUUAACUAUGUGAGUUGUAAUUGUAAUUCCCUGCUAUUGUUUGGAUUAUCAUUAUGUGAUAGAUAGAUGUUAUUGUUAAUUUAUUAUCAUUAUGUAGGGAGAAGUUUGCUUCAAUGCCUUCUGGUGGUGGUGGCUUUGCUAUGGCUACAAGUGCCGGUGGUGGAGCUGCUGUUGCUGAAGCACCUGCUGCUGAGGCCAAGAAAGAAGAGAAAGUGGAGGAGAUGGAGAGAUGCUCCAUUGCUUUCAGAGUAAUCUUUUGGCUUCCUUCAAACCCACUUUCGUGCACACAAUGACAUCAUACUUCAAGUGGUCAAAGAGCUUAAAAAGGCAACAAGAACCAUACAGACCCUCUGUUCUGAGGCCAAGGGGUCGAAGCGGACAAUGAUCACCUGCAAGAUCCCAGCUACAAAGAGGUCUAUAGAACGCUUCUUGUUUCACGUUAAGGCUCUCCUUCACAACACAUCAAACAGGGAAACUUUUUGGAUGGGUGUGUUAUAUCUUAAACAGCUUACUGUUUUUGAAUAAAUUGGUAUCUUCAAUGCCAUGUGACAUGUCUAUUAUUGGAACUUGUGCAAGGUGCAUGCAUACAAGGCACGAAUUAGGGUUUUUCUCCUAAUAGUCGUGGUGUUGUGUCCGACAACUAAAUUUCUUAGAAUAUGGUCUUCUUUUUGAAUAGAUGAAAUUCCACAAGAGUUGCCCAUGGUUUUGUCUAGACUUGUUUUCUACCUGAUCAGAUUCUAUGUCAAGUUCCAACUACUUGUUUUAUAUUGCAUGUGCUUGGUUAGUGUAUUUUUGCAAAAUGCAUGUUUAUUGUUAGUUAAUCAGUUUGGUUUUUACUCAUAUCAUACUUCAUAUUCCAGCUGGAGAUCAUAAACAAAAACCUCGAAGCUUAUUAUGAUGCAUGGGAUAAGUUCGUACAAUCGUGGAUAAUUAUCAAGAUCAAGGACCCAAGCUGCGUCUUUCGGUGGUGGUUGAAGGCCGAGGUUGCUAUGAGGGCAGAGGGCAAACCUGGUAUGUCUGAUGAAGUGGUAUGUUUCUUCAUCCAUCAUUUUCUCCUCCC